UACAGGGGGUGCAAACGUUGCUCGGAAUCAUUGGGCGUAAAGCGCACGUAGGCGGUUUGUUAUGUCGGAUGUGAAAGCCCUUGGCUCAACUGAGGAAGUGCAUCCGAAACUGGCAAGCUAGAGUACUAAAGAGGGUCGCGGAAUUCCCGGUGUAGAGGUGAAAUUCGUAGAUAUCGGGAGGAACACCGGUGGCGAAGGCGGCGACCUGGGUAGAUACUGACGCUGAGGUGCGAAAGCGUGGGGGAGCAAACAGG
rnacentral:rRNA from 1 species